rnacentral:lncRNA from 1 species
GCCUAUGAUCUACCGUGUCGAUUCCAACUCAGAGAAUCUUUACAUCUGGAGAUCUACAGCAGGGCUAUCCCUAGUGACAUGCGUGAAGGAGCUUGGAAAUGGUGCUGGGUAGGAGCUGAGUGUGCAGAAUGUGGAAAGGCAUUCUAAACCUAAGGAAGAACAUGAGUAAAGAUGAUGAAGCAGGGAUAAGGCUAAAAUGAAAUAUGUGAUCUGAUCCACAUACAAACACAGCGUAGUACAGCUGGAAUAUAGAGAAGAGCUUGAGGACCCAUGAGCAACUAUCCCAGUACUCUUGGAGGCUCUGCCACCACAGUUUGAGAAACUCCGCAUUCAAAGUUAAAAACUGUCACCUGAAUAGUUAAUAACAUCAAAGAUUGUGAAAGCAAGUAUAAAUAACACAGAGAUUAAAAUAAUGAGGCAGGAUCAGAAAGGAUUAUUUUCAGACCUCAUGAAGCUGCUGGCUUAUAGAACAGGAGUCUUUCUGUUGGCAGCCAGGAGAGAUACAAGAGGGGGAGGACAGAUUCUGCAGCUCCAUUUCGCCCUUGGGACAGGAGAAAGGGUUGGAAAACAAAGAUCACUUUUCUCUGGCCAAAUGGAGUCACCCAACGAAGUACCUUCCUAAUGGGCCAGCUCUUUCAGAUGACGA